rnacentral:lncRNA from 13 species
UUCUCCUCAAUGGAAGGUGGUGAAUUAGUUUCACAUCACUGCCUGGCUGAGCCUUCUUAUGUCACAGUUUACUUAUUAGGCUCAACAGAUGGAGGAUGGAGAAAGCAAGUAAGACAGAGAAGAUGGGUCAAUAUACAUCACCUCCAGAAACGAAUUCCUAGGGAUCUCUCAUCUAGGAGGGAAGUUAGGCCGAAGAUCUCUAAAGUGUCUGGCUGUGGAGUACACACCUACUUGAUCUUUCAUGUAAACUAA